ensembl:lncRNA
AGACUGUUGCGUUGUUAAGGGCUUUAAGGCUGUUGCAUCUGCGGUUCAUUAUUCAAAUAACGUCAGUAAAACAUGGAUGGGGUUACUAUUGCACUUUUAUUUUUAAAUACAUACACUCUGAAACAAGCCACAGUUGACAUCAGUGAGCUACUGCCGUCAAUAAGCCUCCAUUCUUAUCCCCUUACUAACACAUCCUCUGGCUGCUUCUGCUAGAAACAUCACAUGACCUGAUGAACUGAACGUAUAAUAUCUGUAUUUACUGAAAACAUCCCUACAGUACAUUUGUAUGCAAAGCUAUAUUCAGGAGUGUAAGAUGGUUCAAAGGUCCACGUCUUGGUCGCUAGGCUGCUGCAGCUGAGACAGAGACAGAGCAGGUGUCAGGACUCAGGGCUUUGAGACCGUGUUAAGGCUUUGAGAGGGUAACAGUGUUAAGGCUUUGAGACUGUAACAGUGUUAAGGCUGAGAGGGUAACAGUGUUAAGGCUUUGGGACUGUAACAGUGUUAAGGCUUUGGGACUGUAACAGUGUUAAGGCUGAGAGGGUAACAGUGUUUAGGCUUUGGGACUGUAACAGUGUUAAGGCUUUGGGACUGUAACAGUGUUAAGGCUUUGGGACUGUAACAGUGUUAAGGCUUUGGGACUGUAACAGUGUUAAGGCUUUGGGACUGUAACAGUGUUAAGGCUGAGAGGGUAACAGUGUUAAGGCUGAGAGGGUAACAGUGUUAAGGCUUUGAGAGGGUAACAGUGUUAAGGCUUUGGGACUGUAACAGUGUUAAGGCUUUGAGAGGGUAACAGUGUUAAGGCUUUGAGACUGUAACAGUGUUAAGGCUUUGAGAGGGUAACAGUGUUAAGGCUUUGAGACUGUAACAGUGUUAAGGCUUUGGGACUGUAACAGUGUUAAGGCUUUGAGAGGGCUGAGAUCAGUGUUAAGGCUUUGGGACUGUAACAGUGUUAAGGCUUUGGGACUAACAG